rnacentral:rRNA from 1 species
GAGUUUGAUCCUGGCUCAGGAUGAACGCUAGCUACAGGCUUAACACAUGCAAGUCGAGGGGCAGCAUGGUCUUAGCUUGCUAAGGCCGAUGGCGACCGGCGCACGGGUGAGUAACACGUAUCCAACCUGCCGUCUACUCUUGGACAGCCUUCUGAAAGGAAGAUUAAUACAAGAUGGCAUCAUGAGUCCACAUGUUCACAUGAUUAAAGGUAUUCCGGUAGACGAUGGGGAUGCGUUCCAUUAGAUAGUAGGCGGGGUAACGGCCCACCUAGUCUUCGAUGGAUAGGGGUUCUGAGAGGAAGGUCCCCCACAUUGGAACUGAGACACGGUCCAAACUCCUACGGGAGGCAGCAGUGAGGAAUAUUGGUCAAUGGGCGAGAGCCUGAACCAGCCAAGUAGCGUGAAGGAUGACUGCCCUAUGGGUUGUAAACUUCUUUUAUAAAGGAAUAAAGUCGGGUAUGCAUACCCGUUUGCAUGUACUUUAUGAAUAAGGAUCGGCUAACUCCGUGCCAGCAGCCGCGGUAAUACGGAGGAUCCGAGCGUUAUCCGGAUUUAUUGGGUUUAAAGGGAGCGUAGAUGGAUGUUUAAGUCAGUUGUGAAAGUUUGCGGCUCAACCGUAAAAUUGCAGUUGAUACUGGAUAUCUUGAGUGCAGUUGAGGCAGGCGGAAUUCGUGGUGUAGCGGUGAAAUGCUUAGAUAUCACGAAGAACUCCGAUUGCGAAGGCAGCCUGCUAAGCUGCAACUGACAUUGAGGCUCGAAAGUGUGGGUAUCAAACAGGAUUAGAUACCCUGGUAGUCCACACGGUAAACGAUGAAUACUCGCUGUUUGCGAUAUACAGCAAGCGGCCAAGCGAAAGCGUUAAGUAUUCCACCUGGGGAGUACGCCGGCAACGGUGAAACUCAAAGGAAUUGACGGGGGCCCGCACAAGCGGAGGAACAUGUGGUUUAAUUCGAUGAUACGCGAGGAACCUUACCCGGGCUUAAAUUGCAGAUGAAUUACGGUGAAAGCCGUAAGCCGCAAGGCAUCUGUGAAGGUGCUGCAUGGUUGUCGUCAGCUCGUGCCGUGAGGUGUCGGCUUAAGUGCCAUAACGAGCGCAACCCUUGUUGUCAGUUACUAACAGGUUCCGCUGAGGACUCUGACAAGACUGCCAUCGUAAGAUGUGAGGAAGGUGGGGAUGACGUCAAAUCAGCACGGCCCUUACGUCCGGGGCUACACACGUGUUACAAUGGGGGGUACAGAGGGCCGCUACCGCGCGAGUGGAUGCCAAUCCCAAAAACCUCUCUCAGUUCGGACUGGAGUCUGCAACCCGACUCCACGAAGCUGGAUUCGCUAGUAAUCGCGCAUCAGCCACGGCGCGGUGAAUACGUUCCCGGGCCUUGUACACACCGCCCGUCAAGCCAUGGGAGCCGGGGGUACCUGAAGUGCGUAACCGCGAGGAGCGCCCUAGGGUAAAACUGGUGACUGGGGCUAAGUCGUAACAAGGUAGCCG